GACGAACGCUGGCGGCGUGCCUAAUACAUGCAAGUAGAACGCACAGUUUAUACCGUAGCUUGCUCCACCAUAAACUGUGAGUUGCGAACGGGUGAGUAACGCGUAGGUAACCUGCCUGGUAGCGGGGGAUAACUAUUGGAAACGAUAGCUAAUACCGCAUAAUAUUGAUUAUUGCAUGAUAAUUGAUUGAAAGAUGCUAUUGCAUCACUACCAGAUGGACCUGCGUUGUAUUAGCUAGUAGGUGAGGUAACGGCUCACCUAGGCGACGAUACAUAGCCGACCUGAGAGGGUGAUCGGCCACACUGGGACUGAGACACGGCCCAGACUCCUACGGGAGGCAGCAGUAGGGAAUCUUCGGCAAUGGACGAAAGUCUGACCGAGCAACGCCGCGUGAGUGAAGAAGGGUUUCGGAUCGUAAAGCUCUGUUGUAAGAGAAGAACGGGUGUGAGAGUGGAGAGUUCACACUGUGACGGUAUCUUACCAGAAAGGGACGGCUAACUACGUG
rnacentral:rRNA from 1 species